rnacentral:rRNA from 1 species
UACGUAGGGCGCAAGCGUUGUCCGGAAUUAUUGGGCGUAAAGAGCUCGUAGGCGGUUUGGCGCGUCUGCUGUGAAAACCUAAGGCUCAACCUUGGGCUUGCAGUGGGUACGGGCAGACUAGAGUGCGGUAGGGGUGACUGGAAUUCCUGGUGUAGCGGUGGAAUGCGCAGAUAUCAGGAGGAACACCGAUGGCGAAGGCAGGUCACUGGGCCGCAACUGACGCUGAGGAGCGAAAGCAUGGGGAGCGAACAGG